rnacentral:rRNA from 1 species
GACGAACCGUCCGAACGUUAUUCGGAAUUAUUGGGCUUAAAGGGUGCGUAGGCGGCUGUGCAAGUCAGUAGUGGAAGCCCAGCUUUUAAGGUUUGGAAGUGCUAUUGAAACUAGUGCAGCUUGAGUGCAGGAGAGGUUAUCGGAAUUCCCGGUGUAGCGGUGAAAUGCGUAGAGAUCGGGAGGAACACCAGUGGCGAAGGCGGGUGACUGGACUGCAACUGACGCUGAGGCGCGAAAGUGUGGGGAGGCAAACAGGAUUAGAUACCCUGGUA